UACGUAGGUGGCAAGCGUUGUUCGGAAUUAUUGGGCGUAAAGGGCGCGUAGGCGGUUUGUUAAGUCGGUCGUGAAAGCCCGGGGCUCAACCCCGGAGGGUCGACCGAUACUGGCAGGCUAGAGUACAGAAGAGGUAACUGGAAUUCCCGGUGUAGCGGUGAAAUGCGUAGAUAUCGGAAGGAACACCAGAGGCGAAGGCGGGUUACUGGGCUGAUACUGACGCUGAUGCGCGAAAGCUAGGGGAGCAAACGGG
rnacentral:rRNA from 1 species